rnacentral:rRNA from 1 species
GACGAACGCUGGCGGCGUGCUUAACACAUGCAAGUCGAACGGAAAGGCCCUGCUUGCAGGGUACUCGAGUGGCGAACGGGUGAGUAACACGUGGGUGAUCUGCCCUGCACUUCGGGAUAAGCUUGGGAAACUGGGUCUAAUACCGGAUAGGACCGCACUUUAGUGUGUGUGGUGGAAAGUUUUUUCGGUGUAGGAUGAGCUCGCGGCCUAUCAGCUUGUUGGUGGGGUAAUGGCCUACCAAGGCGGCGACGGGUAGCCGGCCUGAGAGGGUGUACGGCCACAUUGGGACUGAGAUACGGCCCAGACUCCUACGGGAGGCAGCAGUGGGGAAUAUUGCACAAUGGGCGCAAGCCUGAUGCAGCGACGCCGCGUGGGGGAUGAAGGACUUCGGGUUGGAAACUCCUUUCGCUAGGGACGAAGCUUUUUGUGACGGUACCUAGAUAAGAAGCACCGGCUAACUACGUG